rnacentral:rRNA from 1 species
AACGAACGCUGGCGGCAGGCCUAACACAUGCAAGUCGAGCGCGCCUUCGGGUGAGCGGCGGACGGGUGAGUAACACGUGGGAAUAUGCCUUUCGGUGCGGAAUAGUCUUGGGAAACUGAGGGUAAUACCGCAUACGCCCCCUGGGGGAAAGAUUUAUCGCCGAAAGAUUAGCCCGCGUUGGAUUAGGUAGUUGGUGGGGUAAUGGCCUACCAAGCCGACGAUCCAUAGCUGGUUUGAGAGGAUGAUCAGCCACACUGGGACUGAGACACGGCCCAGACUCCUACGGGAGGCAGCAGUGGGGAAUCUUAGACAAUGGGGGCAACCCUGAUCUAGCCAUGCCGCGUGAGUGAUGAAGGCCUUAGGGUUGUAGAGCUCUUUCAGCUGGGAAGAUAAUGACGGUACCAGCAGAAGAAGCCCCGGCUAACUCCGUGCCAGCCGCCGCCGUAA